CAUCUCCGGUUUACUACUACAAGUCACCACCACCACCGGCUCCAACCUAUGUCUACAAAUCUCCACCACCACCAACUCCGACUUACGUCUACAAGUCGCCGCCUCCUCCAACCCCAACAUAUGUCUACAAAUCGCCUCCUCCUCCUACCCCAACAUACGUAUACAAGUCUCCUCCACCACCAACUCCAACGUACGUAUACAAAUCACCACCGCCGCCAACUCCAACUUACGUCUACAAGUCGCCUCCUCCACCUACACCAACUUAUGUCUACAAGUCUCCACCGCCCCCAACUCCGACUUAUGUCUACAAGUCUCCACCACCACCCACUCCGACCUACGUCUACAAGUCACCACCACCACCACCUCAAACUCACACUCCGACACCAUACUACUACCAUUCUCCACCACCACCAGUAAAAUCCCCUCCACCUCCUUAUUACUACCACUCACCACCACCACCGGUUAAAUCUCCACCACCACCAUACUACUAUCAUUCACCACCUCCUCCGGUGAAGUCUCCUCCACCACCAUAUUAUUACCAUUCGCCACCUCCUCCAGUGAAGUCUCCUCCACCACCAUAUUACUAUCACUCUCCACCUCCUCCGGUGAAGUCUCCCCCGCCACCUUAUUACUAUCACUCCCCACCCCCUCCGGUGAAAUCACCUCCACCACCAUACUAUUACCACUCACCACCUCCUCCGGUAAAAUCCCCACCACCACCAUACUAUUACCACUCUCCACCACCACCUGUGAAGUCCCCACCACCACCAUACUAUUACCACUCACCACCUCCUCCAGUGAAAUCCCCACCACCACCAUACUAUUACCACUCACCACCUCCUCCAGUCAAAUCUCCUCCUCCACCGUACUACUAUCACUCACCACCUCCACCAGUGAAAUCUCCACCACCACCAUACUAUUACCACUCCCCACCUCCUCCGGUGAAAUCUCCACCACCACCGUACUAUUACCAUUCACCACCUCCUCCGGUGAAAUCUCCUCCUCCACCAUACUACUAUCACUCACCUCCUCCACCAGUAAAAUCUCCUCCGCCACCGUACUAUUACCACUCUCCACCUCCUCCAGUGAAGUCGCCUCCACCUCCUUAUUACUACCACUCACCUCCUCCUCCGGUGAAAUCCCCACCACCACCAUAUUAUUACCACUCACCACCCCCACCCGUCAAAUCUCCUCCACCUCCAUAUUAUUACCACUCACCACCUCCUCCGGUGAAAUCUCCACCACCACCAUAUUAUUACCACUCACCUCCUCCUCCGGUGAAAUCUCCACCACCACCAUAUUACUACCAUUCACCUCCCCCUCCAGUCAAAUCUCCUCCUCCACCAUAUUACUACCAUUCACCUCCUCCACCGGUGAAAUCUCCACCACCACCAUAUUACUACCAUUCACCUCCCCCUCCAGUGAAAUCUCCUCCUCCACCAUAUUACUACCAUUCACCACCUCCUCCUGUGAAAUCUCCACCACCACCAUAUUACUACAACUCUCCACCACCACCAGUAAAAUCUCCCCCACCUCCCGUCUACAUCUACGCUUCUCCCCCGCCUCCUACCCAUUACUAGGCUCGUCAAUUUCGACCAAAUUUCCCCAUU
rnacentral:lncRNA from 1 species